AUGGCCACCACAGUGGCUAUGGUGACAGAGGUGCCACCCACAAAUCCCCCUCUCUGGCCCCCACAGCACUGUCCCCAUCCUCCUCCUGUCCUUCUGUCAUGCUGUCCAUCCCCCUCCUGCCAUCCAUUCAUCCCUCUUCUUCCUUCCAUCUGCCUUUCCCGUCAUCCAUUUCCUCUGUCCAUUCUUCCUUUCAUCACUCCAUCCCUCUCCUAUGUCCAUCCAGCCUUUCUUACAUCCCUUCCUCUCUUUUAUGUCUUUUCAUCUCUCCAUACUUCCUCCUGUCUGGUCUGUUCUUCCCUCCAUCCCUUGGUCCCUCACUUUCCUGCUUUUUUUCAGCAUUUCCUUCUAUCCUUGGAUCCUUUUCUUAUUCUAUCCUAUCUUAUCCAAUCCAUCCAUCAUUUCUUCCUUUCAUUCUUGUCUUGUCAUUCCUUCUGUCUGUUCUCUUGUCCAUCCUUCCUUCCAUUCUUGAUCCCUCCUUCCUUCUGUCUUUCCUGUUCUUCUUGUCUCUUCUUCUUUACUCACUUCAAUCUGUCCUUAGAUCCAUCCUUCUUUCCCUCCCUCCUGCCAUCCAUUUUCCGUUCUGCCCAUCCAUCCUUCCAUUUGUCCCUCCCUUUCCAUCCGUCCUUCUGUCCAUCACUUUCCUUCUCCUGUUUGUCAUUCUCUCUGUCCUUCCAUCCUUCAUCCCUUUCCUGCUUCCACCUGUUCUUCUGCCUGCCCUUUCCUAGUUCCAUAACUCCCUUGGUUUCUCUCUUUCCUUCCUCCCUUUCCCUCAUUGCCUUCUCUUUGUCCAUCUGUCUCUUUCCUACUUCACUCCUUCCUUCCUUUCCUUUUGUCUGUCCAUCCCUUCAUCUCUCUCUUCCCUCCAGUCCAUCCUUCUCUCCAUCCCUGUCUCCUCACCUCCAACUCUGUCUUCCAGCCCUCCCUCUGUCCAGCCUUCCUUCUGCCCUUCCCUCUGUUUCCGUCCAUGAUCCCUUUCCCCAUUUCCCCUGGGGCACUGACCCCCACUUUGGUGGAGGAGGAUGGAUCACAGGGUCUCCCAUUGUUUUUCCUCUACCCCACCUCCCUCCUCCUCUGUGA
rnacentral:lncRNA from 1 species